UUCUAUUGCGCUACUUCCGCUCCUGGGCUGCCAUCUUGCUGUUCCGCCGCCUGGGCAAGGAGACCGAGAGAGUCGCCGCUGCUGCCGUCAUGUCCUUGCAGCUGCUGAGGAAGGGGCUGCGGCUGCCCAGCUUGGCCGCCCGCCCGGCCAGGCGCAGCUCUUCCAACCCUCCCCAAAACCCCGUCGGGCCGCUGGAGAGUAUCAUUGCCCUGACUGUUAUGUUCACGGCAUGCAUGGGACCGGCCGGCUAUAUCUUGGUAAAUUUGGAAAGCUACAAGAAGAGAGAAUGAGAAGGAAAAAACCAAGCUCCUGUCCUGAUGCAUGGGUGCAAGCCCUCUGCGACAGGAUCUCCUCCAUUCCAGGGACUGGCAUCUCUCGUGCCCUUCCUCCACGAGGACCCGUGUCCUGAAAUACAUUCUGCGCAGCUUCCCGGACCACAGAGGAUGGAGCUCAAGAUGGCUGCUCUUGGGAGACUUAAUGUCUGUUAACAAUAAAUCCUCUUACUGA